UACGGAGGAGGCAAGCGUUAUCCGGAAUUAUUGGGCGUAAAGCGUCCGCAGGUGGCACUUCAAGUCUGCCGUCAAAGACUGGGGCUUAACCCUGGAAAGGCGGUGGAAACUGAAGCGCUAGAGAGAGGUAGGGGUAGAGGGAAUUCCCCGUGUAGCGGUGAAAUGCGUAGAGAUGGGGAAGAACAUCGGUGGCGAAAGCGCUCUACUGGACCUUAUCUGACGCUCAGGGACGAAAGCUAGGGGAGCGAAUGGG
rnacentral:rRNA from 1 species